GAUGAACGCUGGCGGCGUGCCUAAUACAUGCAAGUCGAGCGAACAGACGAGGAGCUUGCUCCUCUGACGUUAGCGGCGGACGGGUGAGUAACACGUGGAUAACCUACCUAUAAGACUGGGAUAACUUCGGGAAACCGGAGCUAAUACCGGAUAACAUGUUGAACCGCAUGGUUCAACAGUGAAAGACGGUCUUGCUGUCACUUAUAGAUGGAUCCGCGCCGCAUUAGCUAGUUGGUAAGGUAACGGCUUACCAAGGCAACGAUGCGUAGCCGACCUGAGAGGGUGAUCGGCCACACUGGAACUGAGACACGGUCCAGACUCCUACGGGAGGCAGCAGUAGGGAAUCUUCCGCAAUGGGCGAAAGCCUGACGGAGCAACGCCGCGUGAGUGAAGAAGGUCUUCGGAUCGUAAAACUCUGUUAUUAGGGAAGAACAAAUGUGUAAGUAACUAUGCACGUCUUGACGGCACCUAAUCAGAAAGCCACGGCUAACUACGU
rnacentral:rRNA from 1 species